GCAUGCACAAGUAAAUUAAUAAACUAUUUUCUUAAUUUGAAGGGACCAGGGCCAGUUGUCGUCCCCCCUCACUCCCCGCCAGUUUGCUAAGACCUCUGCUCUAUAUUACCCCACCAUCCUAUGUUGACUCAUAUCUGGCUUCAACCAGAUGCUCAGGAAGUGCAUUCAGUCUGGUAGCCAAUCAGGCUCCUACCCGGCCACAAGCAGGAACUGUUCUUGCUAUUUUCACUCAGACAGACCCCGACACAGCAGACAGACCCCUGACCCUCAACCACAUUUGCUGACCAGAUGUCAUGAACCAAUCCUAAAAUGAUUCCUGUAUCAGAGGGGCUAUACCCAGUCACUUCAAAGUACGCUUAACCACAGCUGGAAUUCUCCUAAGCAGGCCUAAGAGGGGGAAACUAUUCCGGGCAGACCCCAGCAUCCUGGUUUUUCUAUCUCGAGAAUAAAGCACUUUCUGCAAUUGCAUAUUGGGUGUCUUCUGGUCAUCUGGAGUGAUCUAAGGACCCUACAAUUUACAAAUAAAAACGGUUCUUAAAAAGUUUGAAAGGGGAGGACCGCUCCUCCAGUGGUCUCCCGAGGACUGAAGCCUCGUGCUCCACAAGGCUCUCAGCUGUGGCUUGCUCUUUCCCUCCCUCUCCUUUCCAGCUUCCUACUCUAGCUAGCUACCUGCUCUUCUGUCCUUUCCAAACAGAACAGAGCCAAAGCCUAGCCCCAGCCCGACUCCCUUCAGAACCUAGAUAAAGGCUGGCCAGUUUCUGAAGAGACGGCACCCUCACUAACAGGCGUGGGGUAUCUGCUUACGGAGGGGCUGCCAGGCUCACCCUCUCCCGUCCCUGGAAGCAGGGCCUUGAAGGCCACGUGCAGGACAUUGGUGGGUAAGGACAGGCAAAUUGAGAGUGCUGGGCUAGUCUAUUCCGAGUCUAUCCAUGGCUCUUCACAUUGGUCUACUCUCUUUCAGGCGGUGGUAGCGUCACGCUGCUGUUCUGUUCUCUGAAGUAGGAUGUGACUGUGACACUUGUCUCAGCCAGUGGGAUGUGAGGAAAAGCAAGCUGUGCCAGCCCCAGUCCGAAGCUUUGAGACUAAGAGCUUCUUUAUGGAAACAAGGGGCCUCACAUAGCCCAAGCUGGCCUCGAACUUGCUGUGUAGCUGAGAGUGACUGUGAACUUCUGCUCCUACUGGUUCCACCUCCCUCGUGCCGGCAUCACAGGACUGUGACCCUAAGGCCGGUUUUUAUACAGUGUGGAGAUGGGGUGCUCACACAUGCUAGGCAAACACCCUACUGUUGGGCUACAUCUCCAGCUCCUAGAUUUAUUUUCAAAGGAAAUGUUAUUCCCGUCAAGUGAAAUAUCAUCCCCUAAGUAGAAUGCAAUGGAAAAUAAUCAGAAUGAAAUAAACCAUUUUGUUACAUCCUGA